CAGCAGCCGCGGGAAUACGAAGGGGGCUAGCGUUGCUCGGAAUGACUGAGCGUAAAGGGCGCGUAGGCGGAUUGUUUAGUUAGGCGUGAAAUUCCUGGGCUUAACCUGGGGACUGCGCUUAAUACAGGCAGUCUAGAGUGAGGAAGAGGGUUGUGGAAUUCCCAGUGUAGAGGUGAAAUUCGUAGAUAUUGGGAAGAACACCGGUGGCGAAGGCGGCAACCUGGUCCUUGACUGACGCUGAGGCGCGAAAGCGUGGGGAGCAAACAGGAUUAGAUACCCGCGUAGUCCCUGUCUCUUAUAC
rnacentral:rRNA from 1 species